GACGAACGCUGGCGGCGUGCUUAACACAUGCAAGUCGAACGGAAAGGCCCUGCUUUUGUGGGGUGCUCGAGUGGCGAACGGGUGAGUAACACGUGAGUAACCUGCCCUUGACUUUGGGAUAACUUCAGGAAACUGGGGCUAAUACCGGAUAGGAGCUCCUGCUGCAUGGUGGGGGUUGGAACGUUUCGGCGGUUGGGGAUGGACUCGCGGCUUAUCAGCUUGUUGGUGGGGUAGUGGCUUACCAAGGCUUUGACGGGUAGCCGGCCUGAGAGGGGGACCGGCGACAUGGGGACUGAGAUACGGCCCAGAGUCCUACGGGAGGCAGCAGUGGGGAAUAUUGCACAAUGGGCGGAAGCCUGAUGCAGCAACGCCGCGUGCGGGAUGACGGCCUUCGGGUUGUAAACCGCUUUCGCCUGUGACGAAGCGUGAGUGACGGUAAUGGGUAAAGAAGCACCGGCUAACUACGUG
rnacentral:rRNA from 1 species